rnacentral:rRNA from 1 species
GGUUAAGCGACUAAGCGUACACGGUGGAUGCCCUGGCAGUCAGAGGCGAUGAAGGGCGUGCUAAUCUGCGAUAAGCGCCGGUAAGGUGAUAUGAACCGUUAUAACCGGCGAUACCCGAAUGGGGAAACCCAGUGUGACUCGUCACACUAUCAUUAACUGAAUCCAUAGGUUAAUGAGGCGAACCGGGGGAACUGAAACAUCUAAGUACCCCGAGGAAAAGAAAUCAACCGAGAUUCCCCCAGUAGCGGCGAGCGAACGGGGAGGAGCCCAGAGCCUGAAUCAGCAUGUGUGUUAGUGGAAGCGUCUGGAAAGGCGCGCGAUACAGGGUGACAGCCCCGUACACAAAAGCGCAUGUGCUGUGAGCUCGAUGAGUAGGGCGGGACACGUGGUAUCCUGUCUGAAUAUGGGGGGACCAUCCUCCAAGGCUAAAUACUCCUGACUGACCGAUAGUGAACCAGUACCGUGAGGGAAAGGCGAAAAGAACCCCGGCGAGGGGAGUGAAAAAGAACCUGAAACCGUGUACGUACAAGCAGUGGGAGCACAGGUUUACCUGUGUGACUGCGUACCUUUUGUAUAAUGGGUCAGCGACUUAUAUUCUGUAGCAAGGUUAACCGAAUAGGGGAG